AAAAUGAUGAUGUCAGUUGGCCGGUCGGCCGAUCGCUCGGUCUGUCAGUCAGUCGGUCGGUCGAUCGGUCGGUCGGUCAGUCGGCUUCCUGUCUUC
ensembl:miRNA Mir341 microRNA 341